rnacentral:rRNA from 1 species
AUUGAACGCUGGCGGCAGGCCUAACACAUGCAAGUCGAGCGAGCGGCGGACGGGUGAGUAAUGUCUGUGAACCUGCCUGUUGUAGGUGUCUACCUCCUGUAAACGGUAGCUAAUAUCGCAUACCAUCCGAUUUGCCCCGAUGGUAUUAGCUAGUAGGUGGGGUAACGGCUCACGUAGGCGACGAUCCAUACCGGGUCUUAGAGGAUGACCGGCCACACUGGAACUGAGAUACGGUCCAGACUCCGAAGGGAGGCAGCAGUGGGGAAUAUUGCACAAUGGGCGCAAGCCUGAUGCAGCCAUGCCGCGUGUGUGAAGAAGGACUUCGGGUUGUAAAGCACUUUCAGCGGGGAGGCGUUAACCGAAGAAGAAGCACCGGCUAACUCCGUGCCAGCAGCCGCGGUAAUAC